CUCUGAUUCAGUUUGAGAAAAGAGGACACAAAAGCAUGAAUAACAGGAGGAUGGAUAUAGAAUACCAGCAUCAGCAAGUGUACACGAUUUAAAGCACAUUUGGUAUCUAUUACCAAGCUGCCCUUCAGAGAGGUUGUCUCGUUACACAUUCCACAGCUGUGACUGAGAAACCGUCUUGUCGCAUUUGACAAUCCAGGUUACUAUCUAAAAACUUGAGUUUGUAAGAGCAACACGCCAUGAGAUAAUAUUCGUGCAAAUGUAACUGACAAAAGACUAACAUCCCAUAAUACUAGAGCACCUACAAACCAAGAAGAUAAACAUCCCAUUGGGAAAGUGUAAAAAUAUGAACAUAAAGUUUACAGAAGAAAAAACACAAAUGGCUCAUAAACACACAAAAAGAUGAUAUUGCUUCCUGGUAAUUGGGGAAAUGCAAACAAAAACUACAAUGAAAUAUCGUGGUAUCGUGUAUCAAAUUUGCAGAGCAUAAAAUAGAUUACAUUCGCAACCAGCAACUACAACCCAACCUUCAGCCUCACUGGACUUCUUGCCAUUCCCCAAACCAUAUCCACGCCCCUCUCCACAGGCUGUUCCUUCUGCCUGCAUGCCCUCGAUGGCACCAAGGGGGAUGGGCACACUAACACAACUGCUGGGAAUGGGAAAGUUUCAACCUCUUGGGAAUAAAAUCUAACAGUAUUUAUUGGAAUGUAACCUGUGCAUACUCCACAGCUGGGCCACUACCCUGCAAGAACCCCUCUGGCUGCUGCACAAAGCUCUUCUCUGCAUCCUUUUUUAUACUAGUGGAACCCUGGACACAGCCUGCAUAUGGAUCAAAAGGGCAGUGGUUAUAAAUAUACUAUGGUCCAUCUCUAGGCUAGACUGUGAUGCAGUGGUUAAAGCCAAGUAUUGCAGAAGAGUGAUUAAGCAUUCGUGCUCCAAAGCCAGAUAGCCUAGGUUUCAAUCCCAGCUUUGCCACUUACUUGCUGUGUGAUCUUGUGCAACUCACUUAGCCUUUCUGUGUCACAGUUUCUCCAUCUGUAUAACGGACGAUAACACUAGCCCCUACCUCAUAGGGUCAUUGUGAAGAGUAAAUGAAAUUAAUAUUGCCUAUGUCACAGAGUGAUCCUCCUCAAAAUCUAUUAGAUGAAAAAAGAAAUUUCUAGAAAUUAUCUACAUACAUAUUCUGAUGGGAUUUGUGUAAAGAAUUUAACCAACAAACCCAUAUUACACACACAUACACACACACUCACACAGACACACUCACACACACACACACGCACUCACGUGCGUAGAAGUAGAUCUAGGAAGAUCCAUGACACACAUGCGAGGCAGGUGAAUGGGGACAUUAAAAGGAGGACUUCCACGUUUAAUUCUGAAUGGUCUAUUUUAUUUGUGCAAUUUUUAAAAAUCAAAGCAAUAAAUCACUGUAAAAGAAAAAAAAAAAAAAAAAA
rnacentral:lncRNA from 1 species